rnacentral:rRNA from 1 species
GAUGAACGCUAGCGGCAGGCUUAAUACAUGCAAGUCAAGGGGGUAGCAAUACAACCGGCGCACGGGUGAGUAACGCGUACACAACAUACCAUAUACUGGGGUAUAGCUUCGGGAAACUGAAGGUAAUCCCCCAUAAUAUUGCGGGAAGGCAUCUUUCUGCAAUUAAAAGUUUCGACGGUAUAUGAUUGGUGUGCGUUUGAUUAGCUAGUUGGUAGGGUAACGGCCUACCAAGGCGACGAUCAAUAGCUGGCGUGAGAGCGCGACCAGCCACACUGGAACUGAGACACGGUCCAGACUCCUACGGGAGGCAGCAGUAGGGAAUAUUGGGACAAUGGGGCGAAAAGCCGUGUAUCCAGCCGAUGCCGCGUGAUAGAUGAAGGCCCUCUGGGUUGUAAAUAUC